CCCCUAGUAACUGCGAGUGAAGCGGGAAAAGCUCAAAUUUAAAAUCUGGCGGUCUUUGGCCGUCCGAGUUGUAAUCUGGAGAAGCGUUUUCCGCGUCGGACCGUGUACAAGUCUCCUGGAACGGAGCGUCAUAGAGGGUGAGAAUCCCGUCUUUGACACGGACUGCCGAUGCUAUGUGAUGCGCUCUCAAAGAGUCGAGUUGUUUGGGAAUGCAGCUCAAAAUGGGUGGUAAAUUCCAUCUAAAGCUAAAUAUUGGCGAGAGACCGAUAGCGAACAAGUACCGUGAGGGAAAGAUGAAAAGAACUCUGGAAAGAGAGUUAAACAGUACGUGAAAUUGUUGAAAGGGAAACGCUUGAAGUCAGUCGCGUCUGCUGGGGAUCAACCUUGCUCUUCUGCUUGGUGUACUUCCUAGUUUGACGGGUCAGCAUCGGUUUUGAUUGCUGGAAAAAGGGUGGAGGAAUGUGGCAUCUUCGGGUGUGUUAUAGCCUCUGCUCUCAUACAGCGGUUGGGACCGAGGAACUCAGCACGCCUUUUUGGCCGGGGUUCGCCCACGUACGUGCUUAGGAUGCUGGCAUAAUGGCUUUAAGCGACCCGUCUUGAAACACGGACCAAGGAGUCUAACAUGCCCGCGAGUGUUUGGGUGGAAAACCCGGACGCGUAAUGAAAGUGAUAGUUGAGACCUCUGUCGUGGAGGGCAUCGACGCCCGGACCAGACCUUCUGUGACGGUUCCGCGGUAGAGCGUGUAUGUUGGGACCCGAAAGAUGGUGAACUAUGCCUGAAUAGGGUGAAGCCAGAGGAAACUCUGGUGGAGGCUCGUAGCGAUUCUGACGUGCAAAUCGAUCGUCAAAUUUGGGUAUAGGG
rnacentral:rRNA from 1 species